rnacentral:rRNA from 1 species
AUGCAAAGCACGCGUGGGUGGGUGUCCAUUUCGAAGCGAUGGAAGGUCAUCCAAAAUGAGUGCAACAAGUUUUGUGCCACUCUUGAGAGCAUCAAGGUACGCCCCAUGAGCGGCAUCGACAUGCAAGGCAUGGCAUUCCAAGCUUUGGAGUCAUUCAUGGUACAACAUGAAGGAAAGUCCUUCAACCUCUCUCAUUGUUGGAGGAUCAUCAACGGGGAGGAGAAGUUCAAGGCGCAAUAUGCCGCCCUCAUGGCGUGUUGGGGGAAGAAAGCAGUGGAGGAGGUUGGGGAGGGCGAGAAGCCACGACCAUGGGGAAAUACCAACUCCAAGAAGGAGGACAAGCAGGAUGCAGCCUCGAUCGCCUUUCUCGCAACCGUGGAGGGCAUGAUGACCAAGAAGGACUCAAGGGAGGAGAAGUGCCGGCAAGACAAUGAAGAGCAAAUGAACGCCUUCAUGGAGAUCCAAAGGAGGCGGCUUAAGAUGGACGUGGACAACCACGCAAGGAUGCUUGAGAUGGUGGCGGAGAAGCAAGCCAAGAUGCUAGAGAUCGAGGCUACCAAUGCCAAGACCAAGGCGAAAGAAGUGGCUCUCGCUAGCAUGAUGAGGGGCUGGAGAUCAUGA